CGGGAUGAUGAGCCAGGAAGUGCCGUCAGAUGCGAGAACUGACGAGAGACUCCUUGUGGCUGACC